CUUGCUGAACUAAAGCAAGAAUGCCUUGCUCGUGGUUUAGAGACCAAGGGAAUAAAACAAGAUCUUAUCAAUAGGCUCCAGGCAUAUCUUGAAGAACAUGCUGAAGAAGAAGCAAAUGAAGAAGAUGUACUGGGAGAUGAAACUGAGGAAGAAGAACCAAAGCCUAUAGAACUGCCUGUUAAAGAGGAAGAACCUCCUGAAAAAGUUGUUGAUAUGGCAUCAGAAAAGAAGGUGGUAAAAAUUACAUCUGGAAUACCUCAAACUGAGAAUGCAGAAGAGGGCUGAACGUUUCAAUGUGCCUGUAAGCUUGGAGAGUAAGAAGGCUGCUCGGGCAGCGAGGUUUGGAAUUUCUUCAGUUCCAACAAAAGGUUUAUCAUCUGACACCAAGCCAAUGGUUAACCUGGAUAAACUAAAGGAAAGAGCACAGAGAUUUGGUUUGAAUGUCUCUUCCAUCUCUAGAAAGUCUGAGGAUGAUGAGAAGCUGAAGAAACGGAAGGAGAGAUUUGGAAUUGUGACAAGUUCAGCUGGAACUGGAACCACAGAGGAUACAGAGGUUCAAGUGCUGGAUUGUGUCAUGUGACUGUCCCAAAACUCAGAGCACCCUUUGGCCAUCUUUGCCCUCUGUCACAUAACUUGAAAACUGCCUGAUGGCCUUUUUGCAAUGGUUCCUUCCUGGAAACCUUGAUCUUGUUGAAGAAGUCCUUUCCUGGUAUUCCAGUGCCCCUGUCAGCCCAUACUCCUCAGACACCCUUAACAAAGGCAAUCACACACAUGAUGUAACAAAUACACAAAAUAAAGAGUUACACUAAUAAU
rnacentral:lncRNA from 1 species